rfam:Canis lupus familiaris chromosome 15, whole genome shotgun sequence.
CUGCAGCCGAUGGAGGCGACUGCGCUCUUUGACCCAGGGUGCCAGGGCCGCCGACAGUAGCCUCCCUGGCAGCGAAUGCAGCCUGUUGAUUGUAUGGGUGCCCCCCCCCAACCUCGGGCACAGCC